rnacentral:misc_RNA from 1 species
AACCAUUCUCACCUGCGGCUAGACCUGCGGAAGGAUCAUUACCGAGUACUCCUGCUCUGCGGGAACUCUCACCCUUGAUUAUUGGCUUGUUGCUUCGGCGAGACGCUUCUCAGGAAGCCGUUGGCACACUGUGCUGGCGUGCGCUCGCCGGAGGUCUCAACUCUAAAAUUCUGAAGUCAGAGUUUUGAAAAUCUAUAAAAACUUUCAGCAACGGAUCU